AGAUCGGUCACGUGUACCGGACACGGUGGG
rnacentral:sRNA from 1 species